GACGAACCUUGCUAACGUUAUUCGGAAUUACUGGGCUUAAAGGGUGCGUAGGCGGUGCGGAAAGUCGGGCGUGAAAUCCCCCCAGCUCAACUGGGGAAUUGCGCCUGAAACUACCGUGCUCGAGGAAGACAGAGGUACGCGGAACUUAGGGUGGAGCGGUGAAAUGCGUUGAUAUCCCAAGGAACACCGGUGGCGAAAGCGGCGUACUGGGUCUUAUCUGACGCUGAGGCACGAAAGCUAGGGUAGCGAACGGG
rnacentral:rRNA from 1 species